AAACAUUUAGAUAUUGGAGAAAGAAUUUUCUGGACAACAAGAUCAAAAUCCUUGCCUUGGGAUUCGAUGACAAGUUCAUUCGAACAUGGGAAUAUUAUUUUGAUAAUGUGGCUGCUGGUCACAGGACAAGGACUCUUGGGAUUUACCAGGUUGUAAUUUCUAGGCCCGGAAAUGUAGAUGCACUUGGCAAUUCAUUCAAAGGCUUCCCUUCAGUAUCAUAGUUCAUC